UACGAAGGGGGCAAGCGUUGUUCGGAAUUACUGGGCGUAAAGGGCGCGUAGGCGGCUUAUCAAGUCAGGCGUGAAAUUCCCGGGCUCAACCUGGGGGCUGCGCUUGAUACUGAUGAGCUUGAAUGCGGGAGAGGAUAGUGGAACUCCCAGUGUAGAGGUGAAAUUCGUAGAUAUUGGGAAGAACACCAGUGGCGAAGGCGGCUAUCUGGCCCGUAAUUGACGCUGAGGCGCGAAAGCUAGGGGAGCGAACAGG
rnacentral:rRNA from 1 species